AUGUAUUGCAGGGGGAAAGGAAAAAUAGACUGGUGCGUAGACGUCCUAGCAGCUGAAGCUUUGCCACUCCGAUAUGGGUUGUCCCUAGCACAAAGAAUAGGGUGCAACCGUCUAGUUAUCAAUUCUGACAAUCUAGAGGUCAUCGAGACAAUGAACAAUGGAGGAGGUCAUGCGAUUGCAGCAGCGGUGAUUUUCGAUGAUUGUUAUCAUCUCGCUUGUGAUUUUCCUAUUUCUAGGUUUGAACAUUGUAAUAGAGAAGCAAAUAAGGUAGUUCACGAACUAGCUAGGGCGAGAUUUUCUGCGACUUAUGGUUGGUUUGAGGAACAGUUGAAUGAAAUUGUAAAUUUCCUCACAUACGAUGUAUCUAUUUUAUCUAAUGAAUAA
rnacentral:rRNA from 1 species